UACGUAGGGUGCAAGCGUUAAUCGGAAUUACUGGGCGUAAAGCGUGCGCAGGCGGUUGGGCAAGACCGAUGUGAAAUCCCCGGGCUUAACCUGGGAAUGGCAUGGGUGACUGCUCGGCUAGAGUGAGUCAGAGGGGGGUAGAAUUCCACGUGUAGCAGUGAAAUGCGUAGAGAUGUGGAGGAAUACCGAUGGCGGAGGCAGCCCCCUGGGAUGACACUGACGCUCAUGCACGAAAGCGUGGGGAGCAAACAGG
rnacentral:rRNA from 1 species